CAGUCGCCGCGGUAAUACGUAGGUCCCGAGCGUUGUCCGGAUUUAUUGGGCGUAAAGCGAGCGCAGGCGGUUAGAUAAGUCUGAAGUUAAAGGCUGUGGCUUAACCAUAGUACGCUUUGGAAACUGUUUAACUUGAGUGCAAGAGGGGAGAGUGGAAUUCCAUGUGUAGCGGUGAAAUGCGUAGAUAUAUGGAGGAACACCGGUGGCGAAAGCGGCUCUCUGGUCUGUCACUGACGCUGAGGCUCGAAAGCGUGGGUAGCGAACAGGAUUAGAUACCCCCGUAGUCCCUGUCUCUUAUACC
rnacentral:rRNA from 1 species